GACGUAGGAUGCGAGCGUUAUUCGGAUUUAUUGGGCGUAAAGCGUGCGUAGGCGGCUGUUUAAGUCUGGUGUUAAAGCUAGGGGCUCAACCCCUGUGAUGCACUGGAUACUGGGCAGCUUGAGUGCGGUAGGGGAAGGUGGAAUUCCGAGUGUAGCGGUGAAAUGCGUAGGAUAUUCGGAAGAACACCGGUGGCGAAGGCGACCUUCUGGGCCGCAACUGACGCUGAGGCACGGAAAGCCUGGGGAGCGAACGGG
rnacentral:rRNA from 1 species